UAGAGCACACACCUUGAUCAGGAAAA
rnacentral:piRNA from 1 species